rnacentral:lncRNA from 1 species
UUGGCAAAGCUUCGCUAGAUCUGAGUGUCAAAAAUGGAAGUACCGACAAGACCAUGUCUUAACUGGCGUUAUGAUGUCAACCGAAAAAAAACCAACUCGUAAUUAUAUGGUUUGAUACAUAUCGGUUGGAUUUGAGUUCCUCAUCGAUGAUAUGUACAUAUACGAUCCACGCCAGGUAACUUAUACACAAGAAGGUUCAACAUCUAACCCCUCACAAUAUUGUCAGACCAAUUACUCACAAUCCCCUACCAUCAAAAU